rnacentral:tRNA from 1 species
GUUGUAUGGUGGUUAUAACACUCGAUUUGUAAUCGAGUGGGCUCGGGUUCGAUUCCCGAAUAAGACA